UUGGCUGCUGCAGUGUUUGUGUGCCUGUUGUCAUUUGGGUUGUGCUCUGGCUUAACGCUGACUUGCGCUGCCAUUCUUAUGCUUUGUGUCCAGCAGCUAAACAUCGCCCACAGUCCUCCUGGCAGGUUCAGAGUGGGAUGAUGGAGAGAUGGAGAGUCCUGUUGACUUAUAAUACCAAUUAUCGCCCCCAGUUUUGUGCCUGAGGAAUAAUUCUAAAUUAUUUGCAGUGCCGGAAAGGUUGUGUGCCCAAAUCCAUCCUUCCAUCCAUCCAUCAUCCAUCCAUCCAUCCAUCCAUCCAUCCAUCCAUCCAUCCAUCCAUCCAUCCAUCCAUCCAUCCAGAUCCAGGGAUUUCACAUUAGCAAUGGCUCCGUGCAGCAGCCCUAUUCUCUGCUACCUAUUAGCAGAGGGCCGGUCAGGAGGCCCACUGUUGCCUCUGGUGCCCAUUAGAACCAACUGCAUAAACAAACAGCAACGCUUCACCAGGUUGAGAAGAGACAGCCAUCAGCCACGUGUCCGUCAGAGUCACGCUUCAGUGGCAGCGCUGAAGCCUCGGGGCGUGUUGACAGAGGCACCACCUCACAUGCUGCCUCUCGCACCUCUCACCAGUGUCACCCAGAGUCACCGUCACUCCAGUCAUCGCGUCGAGCGAGUCCUUUACUCUGGAGACAUGGCAAGUACGAGUUUCUAACUUUGCCCAGAUGUCAUGGCACUUGUUCCCUAGCGACCGAGCUGCUAACCUCUAACUUAUGCAGGAUAAGUUGAGCAACACGAGAGAAAAAGUCGGGAAUAUUGUUUUACUUCCAAAUUGGCCAAUUUCAGGUUCAAUUUUGUUUCAGUGUUACUUUUGUAGUUUUGAUGGAAUUUAAAGUGGCCUCAAGCAUUUUUGAUUGCUAGAGGGCAGAAACUAAAUUCUGCAACGAACUUACAUAAACAAGCUUUGACAUACUGCUUAACUAUCAGUUUCUAGCAGUCAUAUGCUUCACACUGGAGUCCUUAUAUCCGUGUAAAAAGCACCAGUUGCAUUUCACUCGUGCAUCAAUAAAUAAAAAAAGGUCUUUUCAGUGCUGCUGAUGUAAUUUUUCACAUACUAAAUAAUAACUAUUCAGCAAUAUGUAUCUAAAUAUCCCUCCGAUUUACAAAACUUAACAUGUAGGUUGGUUCAUAGAUUGUGGAACUAAAAAAAGAGGAGCCAUGAGAAAUGUUGACAUCUUUAUUCAGUGAAGAAGAGAUAAGGUCUGCCAAAAAGCUCACUAGAUUUGUUGCUAGGCUGUUUUUCAUUGGCUUGCUACAUGUACAGCUUCA